rnacentral:lncRNA from 1 species
ACCGAAUACCCAUGCAAGCGUAAAUUAACACGAAUAUAAAAUCUAAAUGAUUUCAAGAUCUAGCUUUUUUACAGUCUCUUGCCGUUUGAAUAAUAAAAAGUCAGCCGUUUGCAUGUAAAUUUCGAGAAAAAAAAAUUAUAACGGAAUCAGGGAACAUGGAACCGGUCUGACUACAGCCAGCCCCAACUAUCAACUUGCGUUUGUAGACGCAAGUGGAUACUCGGGGCUGGCUUUAUUCAGACUGUAACGGAACCUGAAUUUUGUUAUUUUAUUUCUGCCGAAUCAAGUGCCC